AGUUGAAGUCCAUUUGUUUUAAUAUUUUCACCCCGUUGGGUCGAUAUUUUAUUUCUACACAGCAGUGCAACAUCUGUCAGUACUUCUGGUGCCU
rfam:Escherichia coli ISC11, WGS project CBWP01000000 data, contig: c4